UUAUUGAUAACAUGAACACCGAUGCAUAGACAAUUCUUUGCCCAAAUACUUCUUUAAACUUGUUGCAGUGACUUGAUCUCUAAGUCAUGUGGGCUCAUCUAACAGUUAUUGAUCAUACUUUUUAGUUAAGCCCGACCCAUUAUUCACAAGCAGGUGCAAAGCUAUCAUUGGGAUCCUUACCUAACAGUUAUUGGGCCGAACCCCAUCCUUACCCUGGAGCAACUUUUUGCCAAU
rnacentral:lncRNA from 1 species